rnacentral:rRNA from 1 species
GACGAACGCUGGCGGCGUGCCUAAUACAUGCAAGUCGAACGCAGUGGGGACGGGUGAGUAACACGUGGGUAACCUCCCAUCAGAGGGGAUAACACUUGGAAAAAGGUGCUAAACCGAUACUGCUUGAUGGCCCAGCUGUGCAUUAGCUAGUUGGUAAGGUACCGGCUACCCAAGGCCACGAUGCAUAGGCAAACUGAGAGGGUGAUCGGCCACACUGGGACUGGGACACGUUCCAGACUCCGACGGGAGGCAGCAGUGGGGAAUAUUGGACAAUGGGCGAAAGCCUGCUCCAGCCAGUCCGCGUGUGUGAAGAAGGUCUUCGGAUUGUAAAGCACUUUAAGUUGGGAGGCGUUACCAACAGAAUAAGCACCGGCUAACUUCGUGCCAGCCGCCGCGGUAAUUG